UGCAGUUUGGUCAUGUAUUGACGUAUGUAUUCGAAUACGUAUUAUCACUUUAUUUCGAAUUUACUUACAAUGUUUUUUAAUGUAAUUGAAAUUUUUAAUCAUAUAAAAUAAAAAUAUAUUUUUAAAAAAAUUAAAUUUUUUAUAAAUAAUGAAUGUCAGAAAUGUUAUGAUGCGAUGCAUCGAUUUAAAAUGUACAAGCAAUGGAAUUUGAAUUAGAAACAUCUGCAAGCUCAUUGUGAAUACAUUUAUGACACUUAUUAAGGAAGGUUUUAUAUAAUUGAUUUUCAAAAAAGUUUGUAGCAAUGGGUCUUUAAAACGACACGAAUAGAGCAUGCAUUUCUGGAUUAAUAAACCGGCGGGCAGAUAUUACGGUUUCACUGGCCGCCGAUGCCCCGCCACACCUUUACCAAAAACACACUUUAAUCAAUGUAGAUACAAUGCAGAUAUGAGACAAAUGUUUACACCACUUCAUCGAUUUCAAAAUUUGAAUACUAUGGGAAAUAUAGCUGGUCCUAGUAACAUAAAUAGUUGCAGAAUGCUAAGAACAACAAUAAGAACAAAUAACGAAAAUCAAAACAAUUUUCCAGUUGGCUCUACUCAACAUCCUCAGCUGAACAACAUCUCCAAUAAUGUAACAACUGCAGGAAAUAAUCAAUUAAUAUUAUCAAAUACUACGUCAAAUGGAACAAAUAGAAGUCUUUUAGAUUUUUCGGAAUUUAAUGAUGCAGAACUUGCAAGUUAUAGAUUACGAUGUGGUGUUUGGAUAACAUUUGUACUUGCAGCAGGUUUUGUUGCUGCUGCAAAAUUUUACUUUGGAGACAAGGGUCAAGGUAUAGAAAUAUUUGUAUUUUGGGGACUAUUAACAUUAUCAUUAUUUGCGUGUUUAUAUUCUAUUUUAUAUUGCCGAAAUCAACAUAACAGUCAUGAAGAGCAUCAAAUUCAAGAAGAACACAUUGCAUCUACAACUACAAUGUCCAAUGAAAAUAUUAGACCUAUUUCUGUAGUGAGACAGAAUCCACCACCACCUUAUCAUAUUGCUAUUUUGAUUCCACCAAAUAAUUCAUCGGAUGAAGCACCACCACCAUCUUAUGACAAAGUUAUGCGAUAAAGUAAUAUAAAGUUGUAUAAAAUUCUAUCACUAUUUUUUCAUAUAUUACAUUUUGUAAACAUAAAUUGAUGCUCAUAAAAAGUUCGUCUCUAAUUAUAUUAGAUAGGUAAACUUUUACAUCUGUGAUACAAAUAUUAAUAUAAUAUCUUGAUAACAUCAAUUCAAAUAAAAUAGUAGAAUUAUUAU